ensembl:lncRNA
UCUGACAGUGGGAUAUGGCACACUACAUGGUCUGGACAAAUGUAGUGUUAUUUCUCCCAAGCACCAAUUUAAUCUCCAGAAAACUGCAGUUAGGAGAGUGCUGGAGCCAGAAACAAUGUCUUGAUAUUUCCAAAUCUUCAGAGGAAUUGUCCCAUUGCUUUUCUGAACUCAUGUCAACUUUUAGCAUGGGGAACAUUCUGCAAGCUGUGUAAUCCAAUAUUGCUUUUUAUCGCUGCUGAAUUGACCACCUGCUGAUUUCAUUUACUAUUCCUUAAUUUUUCUAUUGGAAGAGGGAAAAAAAAAGAACAAAGUCUUCCCUCUUUCUGCCUCUCUGUAUAUUUGCUCUCAGAAACGUCUUUUCUACCCUAAAGGAUCUUCCUUUGUAUCAUUGAUUGUGCUGAGGUUUCAGGACCUCCUUUGCACCUUCACAUGUAACUUUUCCAGCUAUACCCAGAAGCCUAUUAAGCAGAGAGAACCAGGAGUAUGUAUAAGAUUCUAGGUGGGUUUAAUUUGUUCUAGUCUUUCCACAAUAUAUCUAACACAUCACAUAUAUUUUUAGGAGAGUAAUGAGAAUUGAGCUAAUAUUUUCACCACACCAUCCAUCAGGGUGCUAAAAUCUGAUUCCUAACUGAAAGAAACAGCUCAGAAUCCAUUUUUUAAUAUGUACAGAUGGGAUUAUUUUUCUCUUAUGUUCAUUGCUUUGCAUUUAUCUACAAAAAGUUACAUCUGCCAUUUCUUUCACUCAAUGACUUCAGCUUAAAUAAUUUCUCUGCAUUUCUUUCUGGUUGCCCUUGGUCAUUAAUAUACUGACAUUCUUAGGACUGUCAACAAACCAUCUCCUGUCUAUUCAAUCCACUUUCAGAAUUAUUUUGACCAUGAUUAUCUUGAAGAUCAUAUGUUAAUCAGCACUGACUCAAAUGCAAGCUUCUCUCUCAUAACAACAUUCUCCACUUGAAAACUGAUCAUCCAUUCCCAUGUUCUUUCCAAUUUUUUAUCCGUGCCAUGGCAAGGACACGCAACUUAUAGAAAAUCAGUGGGCAUCCUCAUUCUUCAAGCUGCUUUAGUGAAGAUAAAUCUUCAAUAUUAAGGUAACCUGCAUUAUUGGGAAUGCCCAUAUCCAUUUGUUUUCCAGCUACUAAAAAAAAUUAAAACUGACAGAUCUGUGAGGCUUAACCGCCCUUAUCAGAAAGUAUGCUAUUUCUGCCUCCUUUUGAGCCCAUUUCUGCACUGGGUUCUGCUUUAGAGCUUUGUCAGUGGUUCUGGUCACAGGGUCAAUGGUUGAUGUGCACUGACAGAGGUUCAGUUUGCACCUGAAACCCCAGCUAAAGAGCCACAAAACCAGGAAACAGAAAAUACUGCAAGCACUUAAAGGGAAAAACCAAACAGGAAUUACAGUCUUCCAUACAUCCUACCAGGAAAAUAAAAAGUAAAUCAUUAAUGUUUUCUUUUAUUCUAUCGCUUUAACCAGCUCCAGUGUUGUGUACUAAACAUUCAUUAGCCAUGACAAAUCUUUGAUUUUUAGUAAUAGACCAAGACAGAAUAGCAGAAUGUUAAAAGAUCCAGUUGCCUUCCCUGUAGUAGUGGUGAUGACAUUUGCCCCUGUUUCCACAGAAACUGAGACAAUACAAUUGUACUUGCAAGUAGUAUCACACUCAAAUACACUGUGGGCUCUAUUUGCAAAAUAUCUGACAAUGAACAUCAUUCUGAACAAUAUCACAGGAAUAAGAGAUUGAAAAAAUUUACUCCUUCUAGAUUGGUACUUUAAUGUUAAAAUUAUGCAUUUAGCUGUAAAUGCAUGUUUAUCAUACACAUCUAGAAACUCUGUAUUUUUAGGACUUGAUUAAGCAGCCUGAGUUUGCUAGUACUUGUUUCAUUUCUUUGAUGAAACACCUUUUAAAGAAUGUUGAAAGAUGCUAUUUUUCUCCUAACUACUGUAGUAAAACGGAACUGGAAUUUUGUAAUUAGUUAAUUUUAUUUAUUCUGCCAUUAGUUUAAGAAUGAUGCAUAUUACCUCUCCCAAGCAGUACAACUCCAGUCAAAGAUUAAAUAAAAUGAGAAGCAUCCACCUCAAAAUGCAGCAGAAAAAGCAGAGAACAGAUUGUCUGUGUCCCAAUUUAAUUAUUGCUAAGACUUUAAAAUCAAUUCCUAACUCAGAAUAUUCAUGUCAGCAUAUCAAAAUUCAGAUAAUUAGACAGUCCCAGAGAGGAGAUAUGUGGUUUGGUUUUUCUGGGGUGCAGUAGCAGUCAGAGAAAGAAAGUUUUGAAAAACUGAUUAUUAUUCUUUUCCCAAAAUACGAGAGAGAACAUCUGAA